AUAGGACAAGCCAUAGACAUUAUUUGUUCCAAUGCCUGUCAAAGGCCGCUACAGCAUCCAUCGAUAACAAAAUAACAAAAGGGAAGGGGGUGAUAAGUUGGGGGGCAGAGGAGAGAUGAGAGGGGGUCAAAAUAGAGCUCCCGGAGAACAUACAGAUUGGUCUCUGUCUGAUCCAAGAACACAUCAGCGCGGUAUGUAGGGGGCCUUCUGCUAAGACUAGUAGAAUAACCAAAAGGACAAACUCUCUUCGACGACAAUUACUGAUCCGCGACGCGACAGACGGUCUCUAAGGCCACACAGACUAGAGAGGAGGCUUUGCUGCCCUGGACGAUGGCUUCAGAUGAGAGAGCCGGGUUUCAGUGCGACGUCACACGGGGCGAACGGGGCCGGACCGGUGUCUUUGACGGGCUCACCCUGCAGAACAGAGCAAGAAAAAGAGUUAGGUCUAUUGCGCAAUCGGGCCGUAACUGCUUGAACAAACUCAACAAACGCGAUGCAUGUGGAGUGCACAUAAUCACCCAGUAGCCUCAGUCGAGCAACCUACACAUAAAGGGAAAACACAGACAGUUUGAGGGAAAUCAGCUUACAUUCUUAUCGAUGUUAGUACAAUACACAGUCCUUGACACCAUUUCUUUCUCGUCCUCUGUAAAAAUUUAGGGUUCACCGGCAAAAUCGCGGUCUUAGAUGGCAGAACUCUCACAGGGUAAUAACCAAGCACGGUUCCACCAAGUGUUAAAGCUGCUCUUGCACCAACUUCAUCGGCAAACUCGAUAAAGGCAAAACGCAGCACUGAAUUUGGGUCACCACAUAUACGGCAAUCUACCACCUAUAACAAAUGUAACAGCUCAUUCUCUACUAUAUUCUCACAUGCUGAUCAAUGUCAGAUACAUAGACAGUUCGCCGCACACUAUCCUCCCUAUCAGUUCGCCUUGGUCGGCCUCCCAUCCUCCUCCUCCC
rnacentral:sRNA from 1 species